rnacentral:tRNA from 1 species
GCGGGUGUAAUUCAGUGGUAGAAUGCUAGCUUCCCAAGCUAGAUGUCGCGGGUUCGACCCCCGCCGCCCGCUCCA